rnacentral:snRNA from 1 species
AAUCUCUGGCUCCAGUGCAUUUAACCGAGAAGAUCUUUCACCUUUUACCAAAGAUUUCCGUGCACUGCAGCAGUUGUGGUUUUCUGCUGUUUUUUGGAAUACCCUCGAAAGGACUC